GACGAACGCUGGCGGCGUGCUUAACACAUGCGAGUCGAACGGUAAGGCCCUUUCGGGGGUACACGAGUGGCGAACGGGUGCGUAACACGUGGGUGAUCUGCCCUGCACUUUGGGAUAAGCCUGGGAAACUGGGUCUAAUACCGGAUAGGACUACGCGAUGCAUGUCGUGUGGUGGAAAGCUUUUGCGGUGUGGGAUGGGCCCGCGGCCUAUCAGCUUGUUGGUGGGGUGAUGGCCUACCAAGGCGACGACGGGUAGCCGGCCUGAGAGGGUGUCCGGCCACACUGGGACUGAGAUACGGCCCAGACUCCUACGGGAGGCAGCAGUGGGGAAUAUUGCACAAUGGGCGCAAGCCUGAUGCAGCGACGCCGCGUGGGGGAUGACGGCCUUCGGGUUGUAAACCCCUUUCAGCACAGACGAAGCGUAAGUGACGGUAUGUGCAGAAGAAGCACCGGCCUACUACGUG
rnacentral:rRNA from 1 species